rnacentral:rRNA from 1 species
UACGUAGGGUGCAAGCGUUAAUCGGAAUUACUGGGCGUAAAGCGUGCGCAGGCGGUUAUGUAAGACAGAUGUGAAAUGCCCGGGCUUAACCUGGGAACUGCAUUUGUGACUGCAUGGCUAGAAUCUGGCAGAGGGGGGUGGAAUUCCACGUGUAGCAGUGAAAUGCGUAGAGAUGUGGAGGAACACCGAUGGCGAAGGCAGCCCCCUGGGCUAACACUGACGCUCAUGCACGAAAGCGUGGGGAGCAAACAGG